rnacentral:misc_RNA from 1 species
AGAAAAUCCACAAAAUAAAAUUUUACUAAAAAGGCUAAAUUUCUAGUUACAUUUUUUCAACAAUCACUCUCAAAGCCUCACUGCACACGGAGAGAGAAAGAGAAAGAUGCAGAGAGUGGUCUAUAGGGUUAAAAUAAUUAGGGUUUUACUCCAUGGAUUCACCUCAACCUGCUAAUACCACCACCACUGCCGCUGUCACCGCCGCUUCCUUGUCCGAUUCCCCUCCUGUCCAAGAAUCUCCUUUUUCAAAUUACAUAAGCAAUCUAUCUCCAAUAAAGCCCGUGAAAACUGCACAUGUGCCUCAAGGAUUCUUAGGAGUCAGUUCUCCUCCUCUGGUAUUCACAUCGCCACGUACUAUACCACACCGUGAAACAAGUUUCUUUCAGAGGUCGCAAUUCACACAGAUAGCCAGUGCAGAAAUACCUGAGAAUGAUGAUGGAAGAAAGAACUUUGCUGGUCUUUCAAAUGAUAUAGGGGAAUCAGAUAACUAUUCCAGCAAGUUGAUCGCUGACGUCCGUCAGAACAAUGAUGGUGAAAAUUCUGCACGGGACCAACCUGGCAGUUCCUCAGGGUGUGUUGAUGAAUACCUAUACGAUCCUGUGGAUGUGGACUGUGCAAGCUCUGCUAAUUUGGUAAACCCAAAUGCUAAACAAUCUAAUGAUGUGCUUCAAUCAUCAGUAAGCAGUUUAACUGACUCAAACAAAGGUAUAUUAAAAUCUGAUGGCAAAAAUCACUUGAGGGCAGAAGUAGACAAGUCACAGGCCUUGUCUAAGCAAGCUGAAGAGGAUGUUCAAGGGCAGUCCAGAUUUGAAAUCAAGCCAGUACAAGUUGAAGAGGAUCAAAGUGGUAACAAAAAGUCAUCUAUUAAAUGCCCAAAUGUCCAGUCUGACCAUGCUUCUGAGAAAAAUCAAUGUGAUGUUUUAGAGACUCAGGUUGUUCAGGCACAUGAAGACUACAAUGAGAAUGUAGCAGCUUCCUUACAGGGAGCCAUGCACAACAUGGUACAGCUUGAACAAGAGGCCAGUCAACUCCAACGUGGCUUGAGUAGGCGCUGCCUUCAAUUUGAAGAAGCUCAAUGGAAAACUAUUGUCAACAGCACCUGCUCUCCAAAUCUAACGAACUAUGUAACUGGUUCAGGAUCACCUGGUUCUGCUACAGAAUUGGAGAGCCUGAAUUCAUCUCUUGUGGAUUUAACUGACUCAUCUAACAAGAAGGAAAUGGUUAACCUGUCCCGACCAGCCACUUCCAUGUUUCCUCUUCGCUGUAAUGAAAAGUCUCCCAUAGUUGUGUCCAAGCCAUCAGGCAUUGGCUUGCAUCUAAAUAGCAUUGUCAACACUUUACCAGUGGGUCACACUGCAGCUGCAAGCAUAAAAUCCAGUAAUUGCUUAAAACUAUCAAAUUUAGUUGAGAAGGUUCCAAUCACUCCUAAAGACAGGAUGCUUGAAACCAAGGCUUCACUUGCUGCAAGUGAUACCACAGCUGAGUCAUUUCACAAUGCAGAACCUUUAAAUAUGUUGCAGUCACUUGGGCAUCAAUUAACUCCAUCAAAUAAAAGAAAGUUUAACCCAGAGCAUGAAGACAAUUUUGAGGAGGUUGGCCAAGAGAGCCCAACCAAAAAGAAAAGGAAGAAAUCAAGCCUUGAUGGUGAAGGUUGCAAACGUUGCAACUGUAAGAGGACUAAAUGUCUGAAACUAUACUGUGAUUGUUUUGCUGCCGGAAUCUAUUGCGCUGAACCCUGUGCUUGCCAAGGCUGCUUCAACAGACCUGACUAUGAAGACACGGUUCUUGAAACACGACAACAAAUUGAAUCACGUAACCCACUUGCUUUUGCUCCCAAGAUUGUCCCACAUGUUACUGGGUUUGCAGCAGAAGAUGGAAACCAGUUGAUGCCAUCUUUAGCAAGGCACAAGAGAGGUUGCAAUUGCAAAAGGUCUAUGUGUUUGAAAAAAUAUUGUGAAUGCUAUCAGGCAAACGUUGGAUGCUCUAGUGAAUGCCGAUGUGAGGGGUGCAAAAAUGUCUACGGCAGGAAAGAGGAAUAUGGCAGGACUGGAGAAAUAGCAAGCAACAUAGUCGGCGAGGAAAGAUUGGAUGGUAGAAUUCAUGAUAAGCUGGAAAUGAUGGCAACUAAUAAAGAUUUGUUACACGCUGAGUUAUAUGAUCUCCGCAACCUUACACCCUCAACGCCAUCAUUCCAGCACUCAGAGUAAGAUUUCUUUCGACAUCAAUUUUUCGUUCUAAAGAUACUGAAUCUUUUACAUAAAUUUUUGUUAGUUGCUUAUUGCUCCUGCUUUUUGUUUGUUUUUGCUGUCUUGUAGCCACGGAAAGGAUGCACAAAAAUCCCGAUUCAAUUCUAGUAGAUAUGUACCAUCACCUCAGUCGGACUUUUCCAUCUUGCCAUCAUAUGCAAAAUCCACAAGGUCUCCGAGAAAUUCACACAACAAUAACAUGAUUCCAGAAACGAGUGAAGAGAUUCUGGACAUAGAUACCUGUGGUCAAGGGAUGGAUUAUAAUGUUGCCGACAUGAUGAACCAAAUCUCACCAAGACACAAUGCGCUUGAGAAUAUAUGUGAUCUUACUCCAUUUCAAAAUCCCUCAAUGACUGGGGCUUCUUCAGCUUCGUCUAAAGCCAGAGAUUGGGCAGGUGGUUCAGGACUCCAAUUGUGCCCCGGAAGUGGGUGUUUCUCAUCUGGUCGUUCCCUUCGCUGGCGUAGUUCACCAAUUACACCAAUGACUCGAUUAGUUGAGAGCAAAAAUCAAGAGCAUGGCACUGAUAGUGGGCUUUAUGAUAUUCAGGAAGAUGACACACCUGAAAUAUUGAAGGAAGCUUCCACUCCCGUUACAUCUGUGAAGGCAAGUUCACCAAAUAAAAAACGAGUUUCUCCUCCUCACAAACAUAUCCAGGACCUCCGGUCAAGUUCUUCAGGAGGCUUGAAAAGUGGUCGUAAGUUCAUAUUGAAAGCUGUGCCAUCCUUCCCACCUCUCACCCCUUGCAUUGAUUCUAAAGGCAGCAAAAAUGAAAAACAGUAGCAACAAACAGACACGCUUGAGUUUGCGGUGGUGUUGGGCAUACGCGGUCUAGGGAAUCAUCAAAAUUCAGUUGUGAUUUGAGGGUUCAAAUUGUGCCAGGUGUGGAUAAGGACCUCUUUGGAAUUCCUUGCCUACAAGAGUUUACGUAAUUGUCACAGCCUAUUAUCGAGGCAGGUGGGUACCUGAAUGGCCACGGGUUUGAAGAAUAAUUGCUUAGAAAUUUUGCUAAGUAUCAUCAUC